CCUACGGGGGACAGCAGUGAGGAAUAUUGGUCAAUGGACGAGAGUCUGAACCAGCCAAGUAGCGUGAAGGAUGACUGCCCUAUGGGUUGUAAACUUCUUUUAUAUGGGAAUAAAAUGUUCCACGUGUGGGAUUUUGUAUGUACCAUAUGAAUAAGGAUCCGCUAACUCCGUGCCAGCAGCCGCGGUAAUACGGAGGAUCCGAGCGUUAUCCGGAUUUAUUGGGUUUAAAGGGAGCGUAGGUGGAUUGUUAAGUCAGUUGUGAAAGUUUGCGGCUCAACCGUAAAAUUGCAGUUGAAACUGGCAGUCUUGAGUACAGUAGAGGUGGGCGGAAUUCGUGGUGUAGCGGUGAAAUGCUUAGAUAUCACGAAGAACUCCGAUUGCGAAGGCAGUUCACUGGACUGCAACUGACACUGAGGCUCGAAAGUGUGGGUAUCAAACAGGAUUAGAUACCCUUGUAGUC
rnacentral:rRNA from 1 species